UACAGAGGGUGCGAGCGUUAAUCGGAAUUACUGGGCGUAAAGCGUGCGUAGACGGUUAUUUAAGUCGGGUGUGAAAGCCCCGGGCUCAACCUGGGAAUUGCAUUCGAUACUGGAUAGCUAGAGUUCGGCAGAGGGAAGCGGAAUUUCGGGUGUAGCGGUGAAAUGCGUAGAUAUCCGAAGGAACAUCAGUGGCGAAAGCGGCUUCCUGGACCAGAACUGACGAUCAGGCACGAAAGCGUGGGGAGCAAACAGG
rnacentral:rRNA from 1 species